GCACGGCCGACCGGUCCGCCUCACGGCGUGUACUGGUCUCGGUCGUGCUUUCCUCUUGGGCCGCCCGAGAGCGCUUCGCCGUGCUCUCGGGAUGGCCCAGGACUUUUACUUUGAAAAAAUUAGAGUGUUCAAAGCAGGCAUUUGCUCGGAUACAUUAGCAUGGAAUAAUGAAAUAGGACGUUCGAUCCUAUUUUGUUGGUUUCUAGGAUUGACGUA
rnacentral:rRNA from 1 species